UAGGGAAUCUUCCACAAUGGACGAGAGUCUGAUGGAGCAACGCCGCGUGAGUGAAGAAGGGUUUCGGCUCGUAAAACUCUGUUGUUAAAGAAGAACAUAUCUGAGAGUAACUGUUCAGGUAUUGACGGUAUUUAACCAGAAAGCCACGGCUAACUACGUGCCAG
rnacentral:rRNA from 1 species